rnacentral:rRNA from 1 species
GUGGGGAAUCUUCCGCAAUGGACGAAAGUCUGACGGAGCGACGCCGCGUGAGUGAAGAAGGCCUUCGGGUCGUAAAGCUCUGUCAUCAGGGACGAACGGCCGGUGGAGUGGAAAGCCACCGGAUUGACGGUACCUGAGAAGGAAGCCACGGCUAACUACGUGCCAGCAGCCGCGGUAAUACGUAGGUGGCAAGCGUUGUCCGGAAUUAUUGGGCGUAAAGCGCGCGCAGGUGGGAUCUUAAGUCCAUUUUUAAAGUUCGGAGCUCAACUCCGUGAUGGGAUGGAAACUGGGAGUCUUGAGUACCGGAGAGGAAAGCGGAAUUCCCCGUGUAGCGGUGAAAUGCGUAGAUAUGGGGAGGAACACCGGUGGCGAAGGCGGCUACCUAGACAGAGACUGACGCUGAUGCACGAAAGCGUGGGGAGCAAAUAGGAUUAGAUACCCCAGUAGUCC